UGAAAUUCGCCUUCAUGAAGCCGGAAUUGCUAGUAAUGGCAGGUCAGCAUACUGCCGUGAAUACGUUCCCGGGCCUUGUACACACCGCCCGUCACACCAUGAGAGUUGGGAAUACCCGAAGCCUGUGAGCUAACGUAAGAGGCAGCAGUCGAAGGUAGAAUCAAUGAUUGGGGUGAAGUCGUAACAAGGUAGC
rnacentral:rRNA from 1 species